rnacentral:ncRNA from 2 species
CUGCAGCAUCAAGAGUCGGGCCGACGCCCGGCACCAACCUGCCCCGUGCAAGGUGGUGCCUCCAUGGCAAAGUGGAGGGAUGUGGCCGAACCCGGCAACACGGUGUCUACGC